rnacentral:rRNA from 1 species
GACGAACGCUGGCGGCGUGCCUAAUACAUGCAAGUCGAGCGGACAGAUAAGGAGCUUGCUCCUUUGAAGUUAGCGGCGGACGGGUGAGUAACACGUGGGCAACCUGCCCUGUAGAUUGGGAUAACUCCGGGAAACCUGGGCUAAUACCGAAUAAUACUUUUUAGCUCAUGCUAGAAAGUUGAAAGAUGGUUUACGCUAUCACUACAGGAUGUGCCCGCGGCGCAUUAGCUAGUUGGUGAGGUAACGGCUAACCAAGGCGACGAUGCGUAGCCGACCGGAGCGGGUGAUCGGCCACACUGGGACUGAGACACGGCCCAGACUCCUACGGGAGGCAGCAGUAGGGAAUCUUCCACAAUGGGCGAAAGCCUGAUGGAGCAACGCCGCGUGAGUGAAGAAGGAUUUCGGUUCGUAAAACUCUGUUGUAAGGGAAGAACAAGUAGCGUAGUAACUGGCGCUACCUUGACGGUACCUUAUUAGACAGCCACGGCUAACUACGUGCCAGCAGCCGCAGUAAGAC